CUACGGGUCGCUGCAGUGGGGAAUCUUGCGCAAUGGGCGAAAGCCUGACGCAGCAACGCCGCGUGCGGGAUGAAGGCCUUCGGGCUGUAAACCGCUUUCAGCAGGGACGAAAAUGACGGUACCUGCAGAAGAAGGAGCGGCCAACUACGUGCCAGCAGCCGCGGUGACACGUAGGCUCCAAGCGUUGUCCGGAUUUAUUGGGCGUAAAGAGCUCGUAGGCGGUUGAGUAAGUCGGGUGUGAAAACUCUGGGCUUAACCCGGAGACGCCAUCCGAUACUGCUCUGACUAGAGUUCAGGAGGGGAGUGGGGAAUUCCUAGUGUAGCGGUGAAAUGCGCAGAUAUUAGGAGGAACACCGGUGGCGAAGGCGCCACUCUGGACUGAAACUGACGCUGAGGAGCGAAAGCAUGGGUAGCAAACAGGAUUAGAUACCCGAGUAGUC
rnacentral:rRNA from 1 species